GUCUGCUGUGUUAAAGUAAACAAAUCAUUAAAGUCGUGUCGGCUCGAUCUCGAAGCCGUUUGAAGCGUUAGUUGACCACAGAGUAAGUCAUUGACGUAGCCAAAAUGCAUAACGAUUGCGUUAUUCGUUUAUCGUUUGAGGCCAUUCCCUGCAAGCUACGGUCGAGGAUGAAACCGCAAGUGUUUGCAGUGUUAUCCCUUUUAACUCCAUUAGCCAAGGAAUCUCUUCAGAUAACUGACUCUGCCAGACUUGACCAGCGGACACGGUUGUCAUUGACGACAUGGCAGCCAUGAGCAGGAAAAUUUACAAGACCUUCAUCCUAGACUGUAGGAAGGAGAUGGAAACACACAGAUCAACUGAUGUUUCUUAGUUUGAAUCUCGAGUCGAAGUGGAUCCUUUUAUACGGAGGGAACUGCAUCAGAUGUCUUGAGCGUGAGUAGCUUGGGGAUAACACGUCGACACUAGAAAUGUAACACUCUUUUUUUGUGUGGCUAAGACGAGUAGUUUGCAUGGGUUUUUCCAAGGUUUUCCCUCGAUGAAUACUACCGCGGAUUCACCGGACUGUUUACUUAAAAACUGGUCCUUGUAUGCUCCCAUAAUAUUUAUCGUUGCCCAUCAGCAAACUGGAUUAAUUCACGACAGUAAUUUUUACGCAACGUUUCCUGUACUUGGUACGGUUCGGCUGGUAAAUGCGGGUAAAAUUUACAUUGAAUUUUACCCGGUAAAUGCAUUUUCAUCAAUUUAUCUACCUAACAGCAUCUUGGAAGGGAAAAUUUGUCCGUGAUUUAAAAAGUAUAGAAAGUUCAUUUUCAAUUUAACAGAAUGUCAUAUUUGUUACAGAAUAGAUUAAUCGCGAAUGUGGACAUAUUACGGAUUAAGUUUACGGGAAAAUUUUGAGUUUGUCGUCAAAACUCGCAACGUUUGUGCGACGCAACGCAAAGUGCGAGUUUCGCGUAGUGGAGUUCUACUGUCACGUAGUGGAGUUCUAUUGUCGAAUAUUUUUAAUAAUAUUUAAAAAAAACGACGAUAGAUAUUUAACUACGCGACAAUAGAACUCCAAUAAUUUGAGCUGUGACUUGCAACCAACUUCAGAUUCAAAAACUCAUUACCAGAUGUCGCUAGUGUCGCCCUUGUUGUUUUUAUCGCAAAGUUGUCUUAUCGUAAAUGAGGCAAAAUGGGGCAAAUUGUUGGUAAUUUAUUCUUAUAUGUGAUUUCAAAUACCCAAAUUGAACUUCGUAUCUUAUGUAGGGUUAUCUUGACUUAGUUUCCUUAUUUGUAUACUGUACCAAUUUAUUUCUUCAAAUACUAGAUGCAUACUGUCAGUCACUCCAACAAGUAGACUUAGCGCUUAGUCAAUUUCCAUCCAUGAGACCCAUCAUGCUGUCAAAAACUUAAAACUCAUGUUUGAAGCACACAUAUAGUAGAAUACAAAUGUGGCGAGACAAGGUAUUCUUGCUCAUGAACCAAAGGAUCUUUGCUGAAUCUCCCAAUUUUGCUGGUGUAACCUGCAACAGCAUGUUUGUUGUUAUGGCUGUUUUUACUUAACUGUACUAAAAAGAAGGCAGAAGGCAACCUAGCUAAGAGCUCCCAUUUGAUGAAGCAUCAGGAAAUUUAUCCCACCCGAGGAGUAGUGCAGUUGGUUGCUGUAAUUCCAUUAUUAUGGUUUUUCAUCAUGAACAUUUCAGUGUGCUCCUUAGAAAAGAGCACGCAAGAUCCCCACGGACAUCCUUGAGUCCUCCUUUUGUCCAUGACAGAAGAGGGACUUCCACCAACGUUCUGCUCCAUCCUUAUCUUCAAGAUUCAUCCAGCUUCACUGCUUCAGUGCUUCUUAUGCUGCUAGUCCUGCUACACAACUUUUCUUGCUUCACUGGCGAGUUGGAUCACUUCAGUUGCUGUGACAGACCUGCAGUCACUCACCACGGGAUUAUGGCCAGGUAAUGCAGAUGAGACGUCGAGAAGAUGGACACCAAAACAUUGCCGGUAUCUCUAAAAUGUCAGCGCGGAUCAUCGUUUGUUGUUGGUAAUAUGUUUUCGUUGUGUGUUGGUUAAACCGUUGGCUGCCACGCCUUUGCUCUCCCCUAGAUCCUUAGCUUGAUUUGCCGUAAGGCGCCUGUUAGGCAGUGCACCAUAGGGACUUCCCCCUUAUCGAUACGGUGAUGGAUUGUAGAGGCGUGCAUUCCAUCUUCUCCUGUCACCGUGUCAGCCCGGACUGGUCAGCAAUGGCAAGUCCCACCUUGGCCAUGGAUCCUUCUGACGUGGCGCGUAGAGUAGUAGAAAAACAACCUACGGGUUGUAUGGCGUGGCAGCCAACGGGUUAACCUAAGUGUAUGUAUGUAUGUAUAAUGUGUGUGAAAGUAAAAUGUGGUGGAAUUGUGGGUGGAGGUGGGAUAAUAAAGCAAUUCCUUCUGAA
rnacentral:lncRNA from 1 species